AACGAACGCUGGCGGCAGGCCUAAAACAUGCAAGUCGAGGGCCCAGCAAUGGGAGCGGCGGACGGGUGAGUAACACGUGGGAACGUACCUUUCGGUGCGGAACAACUCAGGGAAACUUGAGCUAAUGCCGCAUACGCCCUUACGGGGAAAGAUUUAUCGCCGAAAGAUCAGCCCGCGUUGGAUUAGCUUGUUGGUGAGGUAAUGGCUCACCAAGGCGACGAUCCAUAGCUGGUUUGGGAGAACGAUCAGCCACACUGGGACUGAGACACGGCCCAGACUCCUACGGGAGGCAGCAGUUGGGAAUCUUGGACAAUGGGGGAAACCCUGAUCAAGCCAUGCCGCGUGAGUGAUGAAGGCCUUCGGGUUGUAAAACUCUUUCGACGGGGACGAUAAUGACGGUACCCGUAGAAGAAGCUCCGGCUAACUUCGUGCCAGCCGCCGCGGUAA
rnacentral:rRNA from 1 species